AGCUUUAUAUUCAAAAAUGAUAUCAAAUUGCAAAUUUGAUGGUGAGGUAGCUCUAAGGCUU
rnacentral:tRNA from 1 species